rnacentral:misc_RNA from 1 species
CCCAGGUGAAGCAAGUCCAUCAUCAUCCAACACCCUCUCCCUUUCUUCUGUCCUUGGUGGCCUUAAUAUUCUAUCAGCUGCACCAUUUUCAUACUUAUAAUUGACGGUGUCAGAAUACUUUUUCAUAACAAUACAACGUCCAAAACCACGAUCCAAAGAUGCCUUGUUCAUGACUAUUGCAUCCUCUAUGUCAUAGCCACUAUAACUCAUCACAGCAACAGUUGCAUUCUGACCAG